rnacentral:rRNA from 1 species
GUGCCAGCCGCCGCGGUAAAACGUAGGAGGCGAGCGUUAUCCGGAUUUACUGGGUGUAAAGCGCGUGUAGGCGGCCAGGUAAGUGGAGCGUGAAAGCGCCCGGCUCAACCGGGCGAGGUCGUUCCAGACUGCCAGGCUAGAGGUAGGUAGAGGCGAGUGGAAUUCCGGGUGUAGUGGUGAAAUGCGUAGAGAUCCGGAGGAACACCAGUGGCGCAAGCGACUCGCUGGGCCUGACCUGACGCUCAGACGCGAAAGCAUGGGGAGCGAACGGGAUUAGAAACCCCAGUAGUCC